AACGAACGCUGGCGGCAGGCCUAAACAUGCCAGUCGAACGCCCCGCAAGGGGAGUGGCGCACGGGUGAGUAACGCGUGGGAACGUGCCCUUCAGUACGGGACAACGUCGGGAAACUGACGCUAAUACCGUCUAAUAUCUCCGGACCAAAGAUUUAUCGCUGAGGUAGCGGACCGCGUCUGAUUAGCUAGUUAGUGAGGUAAUGGCUCACCAAGGCUAAGAUCAGUAGCAGGUCUGAGAGGAUGAUCUGCCACACUGGGACUGAGACACGGCCCAGACUCCUACGGGAGGCAGCAGUUAGGAAUAUUGGACAAUGGGGGAAACCCUGAUCCAGCCAUGCCGCGUGUGUGAUGAAGGCCCUAGGGUUGUAAAGCACUUUCGUUGGGGAUGAUAAUGACCGUACCCAAAGAAGAAGCCACGGCUAAAUUCGUGCCAGCCGCCGCCGUAA
rnacentral:rRNA from 1 species